AACACGUAAUCACAACAGGGCGUCGAGGGGAUCGGGUGCAAGCCCGAGCCUUGCGAUGCUUCGCUGGCGUGCGUGCAUGGUGUCACUUUUGAGGCAUCGUGGACGUUGCGUCGGCACUAAAACAAACCCCCGGCACGGCAUGUGCCAAGGAAAACCAAACAUAGGUAGGUYGCGCCCUGUGUUGCCCCGUUUGCGGUGUGCACAUAGGCCGUGGUCUCUCAUUAACCAU
rnacentral:misc_RNA from 1 species